rnacentral:rRNA from 1 species
GACGAACGCUGGCGGCGUGCUUAACACAUGCAAGUCGAAUGGUGAUCUUGGGAGCUUGCUCUUGGGUGAUCAGUGGCGAACGGGUGAGUAACACGUGAGUAACCUGCCCCUGACUCUGGAAUAACUUCGGGAAACCGAAGCUAAUACCGGAUACGACACAGAGCUGCAUGGCUACCGUGUGGAAAGUUUUUCGGUUGGGGAUGGACUCGCGGCCUAUCAGCUUGUUGGUGAGGUAAUGGCUCACCAAGGCGACGACGGGUAGCCGGCCUGAGAGGGCGAUCGGCCACACUGGGACUGAGACACGGCCCAGACUCCUACGGGAGGCAGCAGUGGGGAAUAUUGCACAAUGGGCGAAAGCCUGAUGCAGCGACGCCGCGUGAGGGAUGAAGGCCUUCGGGUUGUAAACCUCUUUCAGUAGGGAAGAAGCGCAAGUGACGGUACCUACAGAAGAAGCACCGGCUAACUACGUGCCAGCCGCCGCCGUAACAC